rnacentral:tRNA from 1 species
GCCCCCCUAGUUGAAUCACAACAAAAGCUUUUCAAGCUUUAAGUUUGAGUUAGAAUCUCAAUGGGAGCU